rfam:Schizophyllum commune H4-8 unplaced genomic scaffold SCHCOscaffold_4, whole genome shotgun sequence.
GCCCUGCUAGCUCAGUGGUAGAGCGUCGCACUCGUAAUGCGAAGGUCAGUCGUUCAAGUCGGCUGUGGGGCA